UAUGACUUCAAUAAUGAUAGAAUCAAAUUGUAAAAAUGCAUGUCUGACUUGGGAUUAUAUUAUUGUGCCAUGCAGGAAAAUGGUCACAACUGUACAAACAAAUGCUUUAAUUUGUUCAGUGAGUUGGAACGUUUUUGUCAGUGCUGCUUGACAAAUGUGGAUGAUCUGUAACUGGAAGAAAGUGUAACACCUGAAGAGAUGUUCUCGCUUGGAGUGGGACCAUGCUUUUAAAAUCCUGCUGAAACAGUUGUUGAAAUUGUUUAGCAGAUACCGUUAUCAAAAACUGCACGUGAACCAAAAUUACUGUCUCUGCAUACUUAAAAUAAUGCUUCUCUCAAAACAUCAAACUGCCCCCUUUGGGAAGGAUAACAGUGGCAGUAGGGAAAUGAGUGGUGAGCUUCAAUAUAUGAAAAAGAAACAGACUAUUGGCCCUUAGAAAAUGUAAGGGUAUGCAGACUUUGAUACUGAGCAUCUGUAAUAACUCAAAACAAUGGAAGUUGCAGGUAGGCCAUGCAGCAUUGAUACAUAAAUUCAAACUACUGAGUGCUCCUUGAUGAUGUCAUGUGGGAGAUUGAAGGAGGUAGAUGAGGUGGUGUGGAAGCAUCAACAUGAAGCACCUGUAAAAAGAAACGCUUGAAAUUUCAGGUGGCGUGAGGAAGUUGUGGUUACAGAAAAAGCAUAGACUAAAGCUUUCAUUUUCUUCUGCAUCUAGAUGGGGAGAGAAGGAAAAGGGAGUUUUCAUGAGCUGCCAAUUUAGCAUGGAAAGACCAGUAUCGGAACUGGAACUGUGCCCACUGAAGAAGACAUUGGCAGUGUUAUCUGUUCCCAGUGUGGGAGGAAAAGGAAUAGAAACAUUGGAAGUUUUGCUUGCCAGCAGUCACUAACCACACAGUAACAUCUUAACAUUGUAUUUGUUGUAUUAAGCAGAUCAUCUCUCUUCCACUGAGGAAGAGAGGGAUUGUAAAUUGGUUUUCUGAGUAAGUUGCCUUUAAAGACAAAUUAUGCACGGAAGAUGCAAUCCACCUUAAGGUGUGGCUCUUGUACUGCCUUCUCAGGAAUGCUUUAUAAAGGAGGGAAUGUGACAACUGCGUGGUAGCCAAUGAUCAGUAGUGCUGUGGUUACUGAAUGAUUUUGGAAUGUACCGAAAUAAGGAAACAGCCCUGUAGUCUGCAGCCAAAAAUGACAGCAUUGGAUGCUAGCAGUUAACUUUCUCUAGGGAUCUGAAAGAACUUAAUGAAAUGCACUUAUUUCUAAACACCAAAUACUUGAAAGGCCCAUUUUCCUACCAGUGCAGCACCGCAGAAGUGCAGAACACUAAGUAGCAGCAUCUGAAGCAUUGGGAAGAUCAGAAAUAAAGUGCCUGACUACAAAGCCAUACAGUAAUGAUGUGACUGAACUCCAGGAGUGACUUGGCUUACUGCAUAACCUCUGCUUUGGUUUUUCAGUAAUAACCAGCUGCUUUGGCUGGUCAGAGGCUGCUUCUCAGUGAGUUAACUAUGUAAAUCAGUCUAUUGAAUGUAUCAUCAGAAGCUGCAGAAUUUUACUACAGAAAACCUUCCCUUGGUGGCUUUAAUCAGGAUUUAUUACAUGUUAAUGUUGCUGAGAAGGGUAGGUAUUUGCUAUGUUUUGUACAUGCUCUUUCUUGAAUAAAGACGAGGAUGUGGAAAACUUAACUAGUUGUUCAACGUCAGUUCUGUAGUCACUUAAGGUGCUUCUUGACAGCUCUUAUUUUGCAAGGGCUGCAAAGGCACUGUGGCCUUACUGUACUGGUACAGGGCAUGCUGAACACGUGACAUUCCACACACUGCUUGACUGGCUCCUGGACAAUGUAAGCUCCACUGUUAGUUACAUAUUUCAGAAGCGCGGAGAGAUCAGUCUCCCAUCUUAGGUCCGCUACAUUUUCAGCCCUUCUCAGUGGUGUGCACACCACUAAACAAGGGGUAACAGAAAGUAAUUGGAACACACGAAGUUCUGUAUGAAAUCAGGAGGAACUUUACUGUGAAAGUGAUAGAGCACUGGAACAGGCUGUCCGGAGAGAUUGUGGUGUCUCCUCUGGAGUUUACCAAGAUCUGCCUGUGCAACUUACUGUAGGGAACCUGCUUAAGUAGGGGUGGAUCGGUCUUCAUUUCCCAGAGGUCCCUUUCAACCCCUACAAUUAUCUGGCUUUUAUUGAGUUGACGUUGACAAUGUUUAGUGAAGCUGUUGAAGUGGUGAGUCAAAAGUUGACAGUCUUGGGACACUCAGCGUGUCUUCUGACGGGGAAGAAGUAUGUUGAAAACCUGAAAAGGAUAAUAGGGCAGCAAUAUUUUGUAAGUAGUAUAUUAGCUAUUCUGAAAGGAUUUUUAUGUGGCUUGUAUAACAGUACAUGGCAAGAUUUUAUUUGCAGUAAGUUUUGACUGUAACAGAGUCUUUGGCUGAAGCUGAAACAGCAUCUGUAGCUUUUGAGGAGUUCCUAACAUGUGGGCAUCUAGUAAAACUGGUGAGGAUGAGUUGCUCUUCUAAUUUCUGACAUUAAAAGGAUGGUUUCAUGAUUAUGGAUGGUACUUGAAUACCCAAAGAACUUCAAUCUAAAUCUGAAAUACUGGG
ensembl:lncRNA